GGCAAGAUGGCCGAGCGGUCUAAGGCGCUAGCUUCAGGUUAUCAGCGGAUAUCCUCAUUGCUAGUCCGAAAGGGCGUGGGUUCGAAUCCCACUCUUGUCA